UUUUUACCAGUGACCAAUGGCAACAAAUACAUCAUUGUGUGCGAUAUGUGAUCUACGACAUCUUACCACAUCGUCCACACACUGGUGUCCAGAAUGUGAAGAAGCACUUUGCGUUGACUGUAAAGAACAUCACAUUCUGUCGAAAGCGUCCCGGGGUCACCAGGUCAUCACUAUAUCAGACUACAAUAGUUUACCUCCGUUCAUCGCUAGCAUCAACAUAUUUUGUACUCAUCACAAUGAGAAGUACACACAAUACUGUGUAAAGCACGAGGUUCCUAUUUGUUACAAAUGUAUAAAAGAACAUGGCAACUGUGGAGGACUGACACUUCUAGAGGACCUUGCUAUCGAUGUUAAAUCAUCUGAGGUGUUCCUAGACAUGGAACAAAGCUUAAAAGAUAUAAUGUUUAAUGUCAAUCGAAUCCGAGAGCACAGGGAGUCCAAUAUUCAAACAAUUAAGGAUAAAAAGAAGCAAAUCAUCGACGCCAUAAGUUGCCUGAAAGAACAGAUAAACGUGCACCUUGAUAAACUGCAAGACAAUUUUGUGAUAGAACUUGACAAAGUAGAAGCGGAAUGUUGCGAAAAGAUCCAGUUAAUCGUGUCCUCUCUCAAUGCCCAAGACAAAGAGAUAGUUCAGUGCAAAGCAGAGAUUGAAAAAAUUAAAAGAUUUGCGUCAGAUGUACAAGCAUUCCUUGGAAUGAGAGAUAUUCAGAACAUUAUAACAACAAACGAGAACUGCAUUCAGUCCAUUGUUGAAAAUAAGAAUGUAGAAAAAAUCGACCUGGAAUAUUCUAUCAAUGCAAAGAUACAGGAAUGUAUAACACACGUCAAGAAGUUCGGUUCCAUUAUGAUUGAAAGAUCCUCGUCUGCAACAUUCGAAUUAGCCAGGAAGAAAGACAGACAAGCUCAAAUAUUGGUAACAGACGGAAACCAAUCUGUAAACAAUAUAACAUUGAGUUUUAAGCAGAAACUAAAAACUGCCUGUGUUGAAACGACGGGAUGUUUCGUGACAGAAAAAUGUCGAUAUCUUUUUACGGAUUAUAAAUGCCAUGGAGAGAAAAUUGUGGCAGUUAACUCAAAUGGCAAGACUGGAUAUACCAUUGAAUUGUUGCAUAGUGCCUUCGAUUUAGCAUGUAUAGACGACAACACAGUAGCUGUUAGUACGGGAUAUUCGUAUGGUAAGACUGGUGUUAUGAUUAUUGAUUUGAUCACUCGAACAGUGAAAAGGUUUGUUCAAUUACCUAGUGCAACUUUUGGAAUCACUUUCGAUGGUGAAUCAUUGUUUUGCUGCAAUAACAGAAAUGGCAUAUGUAAGAUAUCAUGUACAGACUUUAGCUGUACCAAUAUUCCUAACACUUUCGUUCCUGAAAAAUCGUACAUUACGACGCAAGGUGAGAUGAUUGUCUAUACAGUGCCUUCUAAAAAUACAGUAUCUUGUUUUCAAAGGAAAAAACUAUUUUGGCAGUUCAAAAAUGAAAGUGUUUUGAAGAAGCCAGGAGGAAUAACUAUAGACGAUAAAGGGAAUGUUUUCGUCGUCGGAAUACAUUCAAAAAACAUUCUUGUGAUUUCUCCUGAUGGAAAGCAAUAUAAACAAAUACAAACAGAUAUCACUAAACCGAUAACAAUAUUUUUUGACAAAAUAAAGAAGCAGAUAUUAGUCGCAAACGAAGAUACUUUCGCUUAUCUUUAUGACAUUUUAUAUUGUUAAAUUUAGUUAUUUCUCCAUACCUGGAGUUCAUUAACAACCAAUGAUUAGGAUGAAGCACAAAAGGAAUUGACCUAUUUUUAUUUUCCAGUUGCAUUCUUUUUAAAGUAGACUUUCGAAUUUUGAUAACACUCUGAUGUCUAAGCAACAUCAUGAACUGAGUUAGUAUUAAGAAAAAGUUAUGGGAAAAAUCAUAUUCAACACCACUGAGAACAAUUGCCUGAUCCAUGGGACCUUUAUAUUUGUAAAUGUGUUAAAUUUUGAUUCAAUUAAAACAUCUUUACAAUUUCAUCAUAGAUUCCUUAUUUAGUAUUUACUUAGUUUUACACGUAUCACUAAAUAUUGAUUUGGUACAGUUUAUAUCAAUGUAUGAGACCUCUGUUCUCUUAUCAGUGUUAUCAUUCAUUUAUCAAAUCUUCACCCAAUAAAUUAGACAUUCGAUUUCAUUUUGAUGUUAGUCGAAGCUACGAUUCGGAAACGAUAUCUUUCUCGAAUAGUAUUCUGGGUUGUUUACAAUAUUUGCUAACUUACGUUUAAUAUAUAUAGGAUUUUAAGCAGAUUGGUAAGCUUUCACAGAUGAGUAAAUUUGAAAACAUAAAAUUCGAUGAACAAGAAAAUGAGGAGAUUAAAAGAACUGUGUGAUUUAACAUUUGUACAUCUUCAUCUCAUUAAUUUUUUUUAUUCAAAAUGUGUUGAACAUAUGAAUAUGUAUGGAUGCGCAAUUCAUUAAGACUGGCGGUAUUUGUUACUUUCUCCUCAAUUCCUCUACUAAUAUCGUAAAAAUGGACAUGGUUGAUUGCUCGUACAGAAGCUGAGACAUUUUCACAAGUGCCGCUUAAGUUUUGGCGUAUGAAGGUAUAUUUAGUUUCUAAAUCAAGCAUACCCCAAAAAGGUUCUGGUGGCCUUGAUUCGCGAGGUAUAAAAAUCCUAUUUUUCACACGUUCAAUCCUUUGAAAAUUUAAUCUUUUGUAUUCAUUAAAUAACUCUAUAGUUUUUACACUUUUAUUCUAUGGUCCACAGCUCUGUUAGUCAGCACAAAGAGUUAAGUCCAGUCAUUUGUUAUAUAUUCAUGCAUGUCCAAUAUCACUUGAUGGAUAGUGUCUAUUUACGUACAGUUUUUCGAUAUUUUUAAUUUGAGGCGCAAUUGGGAUACUGACCAAUAUACUUUAUGUUUGAAAGUCAGAAGGUGAUCUUCAAUAGAAAUAACUGACUGGUUUAAAUGCGUCAACAAUGAUAUCAAAUAAGUGAUAUGAUAAAUUUUCAUAAACAUGAUCUACAAGUAAAGUGAAGGGAACAACAUAAAUUAAAAUUUGAAUUGUAAUUACCAAAAGUGAAGUGAACAACAAACAUUAUUGCACUGCCAACACCAAACUAGACCAUAGCCUAGACAAGCGGGGAUCAUUAUUUUAAGUACAGUUACAGUUAAACUUCUCAUUUAGUUGUCUAUGAUUUCCAAAUAUGUGUUCAAGGUUUUAUUGCAGAGAAGCAGUUGCUUAACCAUAAGCUGUAAAAAGGUGGGUUUUUUUAAAGAUAAACAACGAGAAAUAAUAGACUAAUUUUAUUGGGUUAUUUUGGUUGUAGUUUAGUUUUGGUUAAUUAGCCGUCUCCAAUAAAAAUAUCAAAACGAAACACACGAAAAUGAAGCAAACACUUAAAAUUGAAACGUUAGACUCGCGUUAUAGUACGACAGUAUCGUAAUGUUAAUUUUGGAGGAAAAUAUUUUAUAUUAUUACAUCCUCCAUAUAUUUCCACAUAGCCAAAUCUGCAAAUAUAUACGUAAGUUAAGGUAGCACUACAGUCUAACAGUGUUUUUUUAAGAUCUUUUUUUUAUCACAUAAUUUUAAAGUAAGUAUUAUUCUGCAGAGUUUGUAAAAACCCCAAAGUCAUUAUCAUAUCACAACAGGGUGAAAAUUGAUAAUGAACUUAUGUAAAUAAAGGCACAUGGUAAUCAAUCUAAAUAUAUAGGCAUUUAGGAGGGGCUAAUAUGUCAAUCAUCUGUUGAUGCCAGUGUCCAGCUGUUAAUCACUGACCACAAGAUAAAUAUUGUGAUCUUAUCUCAUUAUAUCAUGUGUAUUGCAACAAAAGUAGUUCAUAUAACUUUGAAGUAAACAGAGAAAAGGGAAAGUUAUUGAAAAGGAGAAAAUCUAAAGGGGGAAAAAUCUUACCAAAAUGAACAAAACUAUAUACAUGUAUAUAAGGAUAAGAGUGUGAAAGUAUUUUCGAGAGCCUCUGGCAAACUUUAAACUUUUAAGGUUCUUACUAAAUACAAGAAGAAUAUGUCUCUGAAUUUGUCUUCUGUUAUGAGUUUCAGGCACUCAAGAAUCAUGUGAGGCAGUCUAUUUUUAGCAAGGGGAUGGUCUUGAUCUUUUUUGGAACAUGUCUUUGAUUGAACAAUUUUAAUGUUCUAGCUAAUUUAAUAGUAUAUUUCUUAUUAAAAUACAAAUGAAAUCAUUCUUUAUAGUGAAUAUAAUGAUGUUAAGAAUUGUUUAUAUGCAGCUGGUCAUUUCUGUUAUUCUCUUAUCUAAGACUGACUGGAUAGAGGCGGAGCUUUGUCUAUAUAUAAUUACUACAUCACAGAUGUUGGUCAAAUCUGUGACGUCAAACUCCCGCCAAAUGCUAAGUUAGUGUUGGUCAGUGCACAUAUAAUUCAAAAUUUACAGUAUUAGAGCAUCAAAUACACAAAGUGUGUUGUUAUAAUGAUAACAUAAUGGUGUCAGAACACUCCUGGUGUGUUCUCAGUGGAACUUUUGUAUUAAUGAUGCAUUUAUAGGGGUUCUAAGGGGGAAAUUCAGUUUUUAGGUCAUUUCUCUGAACAAUUUUUCAUGAGACUUGUUAGCAAAAAAUGAACAUAGAAACUUCAUUGAUACCCCUUAUGGUUUGACUUUGAUAUAUGUGAUUAAAGGGAGUAUUUUCUACAAUACCAUGUCCCAGUUUUUAGAUAAUUUGUUUCUAAAUGAAUUUAUAGUUGUCCAAAGAUGAAAGGUGAACUGAGGUUUGGUUCCCAGCAGUUAAAUCAAUAUAUCUUCUUACUGGAGGCAUAUAUCAAAAAUCUGAGACACGGUUUUGUUUAUAGUCUAGGGUUGAUUAAGGUGAUGGAAACUAAUUUUUACUAUCAUUUGACCUGAAUGUGUCAUUUUCAUCCAAGUUGGAAGACCACUUUUUUGGCAAUUACGGAGCUAUAAUUUGAGAUUAAUUAUACCAAAAAAUAAUUUAUCUACAGAUUAAGAAGAAUUAAUAUUUCACCUUUAUAAUGAGCUAAAGAUGUUAAAAAUUGAGCAGUUUUGGAGAAAUUAAUCUUUAAAGACUGUUGUUUGGAGUCAGAAAAUUCUGACUGUAGUGCUACCUUAAAUGAUAAGUAUGAAAACAUAUUAACUAUAACAUUGUUGUUCGGUGUGAGCCAAGGCUCCGUGUUGAAGGCCGUACUUUAACCUAUAAUGGUUUACUUUUUAAAAUUAUUAUUUGGAUGGAGAGUUGUCUCAUUGGCACUCACACCACAUCCUCCUAUAUCUAACAACUGUUGUACAGUCAUUGACUUAUGUAGCAAAUGGUGGAUUAAACUUGGUUUAAUUACCAUUGACUGCAGUAGAGAUGAUCUAAAUUUAUUUCAUAUGAUAUUUGUACAAAACAAAUAGCGUUUUUAAAAAGGAAUCUUAUUUUAAGUUUUAUGUUUCAAACAUUCUUUUAACUUUGAACCACAGUAUACGGAUUAUUUUUAUUAGAUAUGAAUAUUUAAAUAUAAAAAAAGGUUUAUAAAGUCUCUACGGAACUAUGACAUGUCUAGGUUAUAUGUAAGUUACACUAAAUCAAAUUUACAAAUUGGAAAAAAAACAUUGAAACUAUAAAUACAAAAGAAUUAUGUCAAAUCAAUCUGAAUAAUGUCUCAGUUAGAUAAACUUAAGCUAAAAUAAACUACUUCAGUCUAUAAAAAAAAAGAAUACUACUAAUCAAAAUAGCACAGGAAAAGAGCGAUAACUCAUUUUGAUUUUCAGGCAUCAUUAUGCAUGUUAUGUAAACAACGCCUCGAUAACAACAUACUUCCGUGUUGCAUGUUAGAGGUUUGUUUCUUUUUUAUUUACAUUUCACAUCUUUGAUGAGAUUAUUGAAACAAACCUUUUGAUUAUUAUUAGUGAUCUCAAAUAGGUCAUAAAACACAAAGUCAAAUCCUUGUCUUUCUGAUUUCUAACUUAAAUACCCUUUUAUCCAUAUAAGAAAUAUAAAUAUAACGUGUCAUGCAAAAUGCUAGCAUUCUCACAGUCUUUCUGCUUUGGGAUAACUUUCUGUCACUGAUGGUUCUUGUUUUGAAACGAUAUACUAUUGUUUUCUCUGUGUUGUCAGUAUUUGAGUACUUUGUCAUUUAUUUAUAGUUUUACUUUACAUUGUCAAAUGUCCUGAAUCGGCAUGAAAUAUCUGUCACUGAAUAUUAAGGAAACAGACAUGCAGAUAAAUUAUGAAAAAAAUUACCGAAGACAAAAAAAAGGAAUAACCAAGUUGGACAGUACAGUAGACAACAUCACAAUUGCGUACUUAUCAGUCGACAGAAGCUUACCACAGAUUUAUUGUCAGGUUUCUCGGAUUGGUAUAGGCUAUUCUAGACACACAAAAUGCAUGGCAAAAACAAGAAAUGUACGUGUGUGACUAUCCCUAUCACAUGUCUUUGUAAUCUGAAGAGCAAAGAUUAAUGUUCUGUCUUACUAUUUGGCAAACCAAAACACUAUAAUAGAUAGGCUGAAGUACCAAAUGUUAAGAACAAUGACCUGUUUCAAAAUAUUUACAAAAAGGAGUAGGUUCGAUAAGGUCCCAAAAUGACCCCUGAUUAAGCGUAAAUUUCAAUUUAGGAUUUAUUGACCAAUAUCACAAGAAAUUAACGCUAAUACAGGGACUAGAUAGGAAAUAACCAAUUGUGUUGAAAAUUAAUGUUCCUGCGUUUUAUGUUGACGUCACAAGUUGUACUCAUAUUGAUUUAACAUGAAAAAAUCAAUAAAAAGGGCUAAAUUUCCAUAGAUUAUUGGACAGGAAACAGAGCGCAGGUCUCGUUUAAGUUACAUGCUACUAAAUAUUUGUCUAAAAAUAGACGAAAAAAAUGACGCUUUAUACAUUUCUUGCAUCCGAAGCGCUUGCAGUAUUAACUGUCAUCAACAACACCCAAAGGGGAUCAUAUGUAUAAGAACCGACCGAAAUUGUGAAAAGCUACAUAUUCAAAACUAUCCUUAAAAAAAAUGUCAAUCUAUCAAACGACAAUUUUGCCUGAAGGAGUCGAACUCGAACAGUCUGAUAUCAAGAACGAAAGAAACAUUGUGUUGAUACAUUCGUUAUUUGCUAUGUUUAUUUUCAUUUUAACUAGUUAUUUUAAAUAUAUAUGCAUACAAUGCUAAAGACAAACAUAUAAAAUAUAAAUAUUUCAAAUAUCGAAUAAAAGUUUCGACUUAUAAAAUUGCUGAGUGGUCAGCAAAACAUUUGAAAGACAUUUUAUGAACAUGUUACCCUAAAAAACAUCGCUUUAUAUUUAAGACUUUUGAAUAAUAACAGGACACACAACAAAAAAAUGAGCAUAUUAUUUUUUAUAUUUUUUACCAGUGACCAAUGUCUACAAAUACAUCAUUGUGUGCUAUAUGUAAUCUACGACAUCUUACCACAUCGUCCACACACUGGUGUUCAGAAUGUGAGGAAUCACUUUGCGUUGACUGUAAAGAACAUCACAUUCUGUCGAAAGCUUCCCGGGGUCACCAGGUCAUCACUAUAUCAGAAUACAAUAGUUUACCUCCGUUCAUCGCCA
rnacentral:lncRNA from 1 species